rnacentral:lncRNA from 1 species
AUCAGCGAAAAUCUUCCCUGUUAAUGAAAUAGCUCCUAAAUACGCACUUUCAGAAGUGUUGAUCUUAGAUGACUUUAGACGGAAAAUACAGAAUGCAGAUAUGUACCCUUGAGCAUCCAGGCAGACUAAGUUUGUUCACAACAGCAUAGAUCUACAGUACUGAGCUUGUGUCUGCGUAGCAGUUCUAACACAUCGUGUGGAUCACCUUUGGAAAAAGUGAUAGAUACUAUCUUGUUUGAUUUUUCACUAUCAUCGAUAGAAGUUUUUUAAAGCUGUGGUAUAGUCAGGGUAUUAAUAUUCUUGCUGGAUCUCUGUCUACUGCCUGCCACAUGGUACCAUCUCCACAGACUUGUAAGAUCAUUUGUCAUGCAAAUCGUAGGAGUAUGAGAAUUCCAGGGAAUGGCAUGCCGAGUAUUGAGGAACACAAAUUCAUUGCAUCAGGAAAUCCACACUUAGAAGCUAUGGAUACCAAGAAAAGCUUUUAAAGUUUAGAAAAAAAAUCAAUGAAAAAUACAAAAAUUGAAUCUCUACAGAACUUGUGUUUCUUUUUCUUUCCCCAAAGAAAUUUUCACUUCUAGGAACUUAGGGAUUUGUUAAGUCGGUUACUAACUAGCUUCUUCCCAUACCUAUGCAAUGCCAUAUGUAAGAAAAUUCAAGCAGGAAAAAUUGGUUUGGCUUAAAAAUUAAAUUCCUCUUUAUUAUAAGGAAAACAGGAGGUCCCACU